CGAAAGUCGGAGGUUCGAAGGCGAUCAGAUACCGCCCUAGUUCUGACCGUAAACGAUGCUAGCCGACCGCCCGCCAGGGUUACUACCGCGACUCGGCGGGCGGUGUCUUUUCCCGGGAAACCCUCGAGCCAUCGGGGUCCGGGGGAAGUACGGCUGCAAAACUGAAACUUAAAGGAAUUGACGGAAGGGCACCACCAGGAGUGGAGCCUGCGGCUUAAUUUGACUCAACACGGGGAACCUCACCCGGCCCGGACAGCGUGAGGAUUGACAGAUCGAUAGCUCUUUCUCGAUCCGUUGAUUGGUGGUGCAUGGCCGUUCUUAGUUGGUGGAUCGGUCUGUCUGGUUAAUUCCGAUAACGAACGAGACUCUAGCCUGUUAAAUAGCCCGUUGGCGUAAAAAAGCCAAGGGUUUACGCAAAGGAGCGGGAGUCCGCGGGGGUGCCAAGUCGGCGUGCUCCCGUCGGAUGACCCUCCCUAAGUGGGCCCGGCGAAACAAUGACGAGACAAAAAGGCGUUUCUCGGGGGGAGGGUCCGGUCGCCUCCGGUCCUUUCUUCGGUCACGUCGUCUCGCGCUAUCGGCUUUCGAGUGCAAAAGCUUCUUAGAGGGACUUACAGCUUAUAGCUGAACGAGAUUGA
rnacentral:rRNA from 1 species